rnacentral:rRNA from 1 species
GACGAACGCUGGCGGCGUGCCUAAUACAUGCAAGUCGAGCGGACGAAUCGAAAGCUUGCUUUUGAUUCGUUAGCGGCGGACGGGUGAGUAACACGUGGGCAACCUGCCCUGUAGACGGGGAUAACACCGAGAAAUCGGUGCUAAUACCGGAUAACACGAAAUGUCGCAUGACGUUUCGUUGAAAGACGGCGCAAGCUGCCGCUACAGGAUGGGCCCGCGGCGCAUUAGCUAGUUGGUGAGGUAACGGCUCACCAAGGCGACGAUACGUAGCCGACCUGAGAGGGUGAUCGGCCACACUGGGACUGAGACACGGCCCAGACUCCUACGGGAGGCAGCACUAGGGAAUCUUCCGCAAUGGACGAAAGUCUGACGGAGCAACGCCGCGUGAGCGAAGAAGGCCUUCGGGUCGUAAAGCUCUGUUGUUAGGGAAGAACAAGUAACGCAGUAACUGGCGUUACCGUGACGGUACCUAACGAGAAAGCCACGGCUAACUACGUG